rfam:Brassica napus, WGS project CCCW01000000 data, contig: 12946
UGUCUGGUCCUGGAUUAGCAAGGACCGGCUCUGUACAUUGGACAUAAACAUAUGUUCGUGUUUCGAUUUUCUGAUAGGAACCUGUUGAUCUUGUGAUAUACUGGGCCAUUUUGGCGAUUACAUUU